rnacentral:lncRNA from 1 species
CUGGGGAGCUUUUCAUUCCUGUGAUCUUGUAGAAGUCUCCUGAUGGUUCCCCAGAGUGUGUCUGGAUCCCAGUCACAGCAUGGACUGUAGCCAGACCACCUGCAGAAUCCCGCUUUGGACAUCAAUGAGCAGAGCAGCGCUGGGUGAGUAAUUUGGCUUUUCUGUGCCAUGUCUUUCUCAUUUGGGCACACAGAAUCAUAGCAGCACGUUGGAAGUCCUCUGUGGGCUAAUGAACACAAAGUGCUUAAGAGGGACUCUUGAAAACCAUUAGUUAGGUGCUAUUUCUCAAAAUUCAGGAACCAGGGAGGCCCAGAGGUACCUAUUUACUAAACCUUAGACGGCUCUGAGCAGCAGGGCUGCCAUUUGAACCCCAGAGCUGGGUUCCUUCCAAGCACUGGUUGGGGGCAGGAAAACCUUGGAGUGGAGGGAACAUCACCAUCAUCCGUCCCCUUGGCAGGAGAGUGGAUUCCCAGCCGAAGACUCAGUUAUACUUUCCAUAGAGUCUCCAGCCAUCUACAGUGUAAUGCUUCCAGCAUUGGAACUUUCUAGAAGGUGUCAGGGGACCAUGUAAUUCUGGGCCACGGAAGAUGGGCAUGCACCAAGUCAGAGAGGCUCUAGUCUGAUUCCUGCUUCCACUACAUAGCAGUGUUGAGCUUGUGUCUCGUCGUCAUUACCCUUAUAUUUUCUUCUGGAAAGGACUCAUAGAGGGUCUCCUAAGCCCAGCAUGGUCAGGGAGGCUCCUUCCAGAAUGUGGGCGCAUGAGCCCCCUCAGGUUUCCUCUUUUAGUUCAGUUCCCACUCACACACACUGACACCAAGUCAAGGUGCUGUCCCUCAACUCUGUUGGAGUCAUUGGAAGGGCUAGAAACCAGGGUUUUAGAACCUUCUGGAAGAGAGUUUUCCUUUCUUAAUGAAGCUGCAUGGUGGGGCAGGCAGUGCUGGGGUUUGGAAGGGGUUAGCUGCAGUGUCUGUGGGUUUUGGGGAAAUAGUUACGUGGGACAACCCCUCAGUGUCCUCUCUCUCCACCUGACCGUUUUCAGACCCAGGCCUGGUGCUGGGUGUGAGAGACUGUUUGCUAAUGAAUGAACGUCCAAGCCAAGCAAUGUGAAUUUAAACAAAACAGAUGCUGGCUUCAAGACACAGAUUUCCUCGGAGGCCUUUGGAACCUAACUCAGCCGACUUAGUGACUCACCUAUCUUUUAAUUUUAUUUCUUUUAUUUUUUUACGUUUUUGGGUACUGGGGAUUGAACCCAGGGGUACUCAACCACUGAGCCACAUCUCCAGCCCUUUUUUAUAUUUUAUUUAGAGACAGGGUCUCACCGAGGUGCUUAGUGCCUUGCCAAGUUGCUGAGACUGGCUUUGAACACAAGGUCCUCCUGCCUUAGCCUCCCAGUCUGCAGGGAUUACAGGCCUGAACCACCAUGUCUGGCCUUAAUUUUAUUUCUUAAAUUUGAAUGUCUUUGUCUCUCUUCCUCCCGCCCUCCUUCCCAUUUCUCCUAGAGAAGAGAGCACAUUCACCCCCACCGCCCCGCCACACAUACACACCCCUUUCUGCCCCUCUCUCCCGUCACACAUCUGACAUCUCACCAGAGAUUUGGUCACUGCUGAGCUAUCUUCAUUUAAUGUGGCUUUGACAGGAUAGUUGGUCUGGAAAUUUUAUUUUCGAUUAAACUUGCUUGUUGAACUGCCUCUGUUUUAAAAGGGUUCCAUUAAGGUGGGUCAUUAUAUAGCAGUUGUUACAGGAGGUAUUUGUGCUCAAUUUCAGCUCUUAGGUAAUUCAAAUCAAAUGCUUUCUAUUUUCCUCCCUCGAGCUGUGUGCUACCAUCUUUCUCUUACGCUGCAGGCGGUCUGUGAGUUAUUUUUAGAAACCCAAAUCAAAACAGCAAUUUUGGCAGAGGCCAUCUCUAGCCCAGCAGAGUAAUCCAUAUGUACCGAUACAAACAGCCAAAGAAGCCACAUCUUUAAAGAGCAACAACACCACCUCCCUAUUUGUGGGGUUCAAUGUUUGGGAACUGUAAGCUGUCUUUUGUGCUAUUAUAUUCCAUUCCAAGCUCUCAACUGAUGUUGAAGGUAAUGGAAAUCUCUUUAAAAUCAUGAAAGAGCUCUCCACUUGCGUACUUUGCCAACAUCUGUGUUUCAAGAUGGCAGCCUUAGGAUUUCCUGGGGACCUAGUUUUGGCUUCUGGAUCUCCAGUGAAACAUGGAGGUCACUUUCUUUAUUUUCUUAAUCUCCUCUUUUCUUUCCCCAGAAUACAUGUCCAUACCUCAUUAUGCUUGACUAGCAGGUAAACCUCUUAGAGUUAGAAUAUAAGUUUUUGGGCAGGGGCUGUACUUCUUAUCUUGUUUCAUGACCGACACUCGGAGGUGCUCAGCUGGUGAAUGAAUAGACAGAUGAAUCAUUAAAAUUUUAUUUCUAUUUCCUCUUUUUAAAAAAUUGUCAAACUUUUAUUGCAAAAAAAAAUAUUAAGUGAAUGCAUUCAUCUUGAGGGGAAAAAAAAUCUUCCCAAUUAAGGCUGAAGUUCUUUCAGCUCACCACCCCCAUUCCUUGCAUCCUCAUUACGUCUGCUUAGGUGAUAUUUGUUAUCAUUUGGGGGCACAUCUUUGCAGACCUCUCCAGAGCAUUUAAUUUUGCACACACUGAGGACUGUUGGUAGACUUGUGAUAAACAGAUUACUCUAUAGCUUACCUCUAUCACUCAGUGGUCCAUCAGAAUGUAAUCCACAUUAGCCAUCUCUUCCUUUUUAGGGGCUGCAUUGUUUGAUUACAUUAGGCAGCUACACCACCUUUGAUUUGGACCAAAUAAAGUCUUCCUUUGCUUUCCCAUUUGUUAUACUUCCACAUCUCUUCUCAUGUGUAGGUUUUGACAUAUUAGCCGUGUCCCUGUCCUUAACCUCGAGAUGUGUGCUGUGCCCUGGGGAUCACACAGCGGUGGAGAGUGAGUGAUGGAUACAGGAUCGGCUCUGCCCACGGCCAGCUGGGUGUUUCUAGGCAGCUCAUUUCCUCUCCCUGGACCUUAUGUUUCUCAUCUGCACAACAGACUUGGAGCCCCUUCAAGCUGUUAGACUCUAACUUACGCAGUGUCACCAGGAUUGAUUAAUAGAAUGCAUUGUUAGUUCUCCUUCCACUGUGUGCUGGGGUAGGAAAAGAGGCAAUUCCCAGCUCAGAGCUCUUAGCUGAUACCACAGAGAACCCCUGAUUGGCUAGGAAAGUAUUGCCUCUGGAUUUCAAUCUUCUUUACUAUUGUUUGGUCAUUCAGUUUAAAUUCAUUUUAUUUUAUUUUAAAAAUUUAUAUUAUUAUUAUUAUUAUUAUUUGAUGGGAAUUGAACCCAAGGCUUCAUACCUGCUAGGCAACCUCUUUACCACUGAGCUACAUCCCUAGCCCUUGUUUUAUUUAUUUUGCUUUGUUUGCUUUGUUUAUUCUAAGCAAGGAUGUAUAGUUAUGGGGACAGAGAGUAUGAACCCUUGAGUUCUAUUUCCAGGUUUGUCUAAUUCCAGCUGUGUCUUCUUAGAUAAGUCACUUACCUUCCCUGGGGUUUCACCUGUUAAGAUCUUGAUUCCAAAUUAGCCAGGUAUCCACCAAAAUAACAUGUAAAAGUUGAAAACCACAUCCCCACAUGCCAGGUUUCGCCUGGCAUUUCUGAGCCUCCCGUCCCCUGCAGACAGGUCAUCUCAUGCAUUGAUGAGGUGACCUAAGAGACCCCCAAACCCAUGAGAUCUUGUUUCGCAGGAGAGUUGUGCAGCUGUCCUGGCCCCUGAUGACACAUGCUGACCUCUUCAGUGGGCUCUGAGAGAGAUCCAGAGAAGGUUCUGAGCUCCUAUGAUUCACAGGUGGGGUUUUCUCCCCUGCGCCCUGGGGCUGUGUGUGUGGUGGGGCUGAGGCAAAGGGUAUUCCCCUGCUUUGUGGCUCAGGACCGCAAGGGUCACAGGAUCUGAUUCACCUGCCUUGGGUUUCCCUAAGGUUCUCGUCAGGCUUCCCAUGUAGAGCAGAGUUCUGGCCCUUGGCUUGGCGAUGUGCUUUGGUCUGGAGUUACAUGGUGCUCUGCAGAUGGAAGGUCGGGCUGAGUAGAUGUGAGAGUCGUGCUCGGCAGUCUCCAGGGCUGGCUUUCCUGGUCCCUGUGCAUUGUCGGGUGCUCCAGCCCCGAGCUUUGGCUCCUGGACAGUGCUCUGGUUGAGGCUGUCCGUGUUGAGCAGGUUCCUACAAAAAUAAGCCCAGAGUCUAAGGUGUUCUUCCGCUUGCUGAGUUCCUCUGUGUUAAGCCCUUCCAGCCUCUGCUUCCUGCCCUGCGGGGUCCUCAUUAGAUAAAAUGACCCUCUGCAAUAACCUGUUCCUUCCUUCCUUUUCUUAUAUGGGGGGGGGGAAACCCCCGUCAUUUUAUAGGCUCUGAAUCUGUAAAUGAGCAUCCGAAAGCCUACUGUGGGUGUUUUCACAUUAACCAAAAUAAAACCAAAAGGCAGCACGAGAAAUGGGUGGGGGGGAAUGUCGUUAACCAGGUAAACAUGGUCAAUUAAUAAAAAAUAAGUAAUUAAGUAAGUAAAGGGACGGCAGUAACCAUCCCAAUAUUUCCCCAUUACCGCCUUCCUUGUUUUAAUCAGUUGCCUGCAAAUGUGACUUGCAUUGUUUAAGUCCCUCCAGAGCGAGGUACAUGGUCCCCUGUUCUUGAUCCUCCUCCAACCUGUCAAUACCAUUUUCAUUCACAAAGUGGAAACUUUCAGAAAUGAGUCAACUUGCCCUGUGAAUCAUAGGUCCUUGAUGUGAAACGCUUGUUGCUGCUGGGGUGAGACGGGGAAAGUCAGAAUGAAUUCUUUGACCCAAAAAGUCAGUCUAAGUGAACUCUGGACAGGGAGGGUUUAAGGGGUGGGAUUCCUGCUGUCCUGGGGCUGCGUUGCGGAGGGAAACCCAGGGACUUAGAGUUUAAGCCCGCUGAUGCAGCCCCUUCUGUAGUUUGUGCACCUCUGCAUUGUGAGAAUCGUCACAGCUUGGGAGACCUCUGAUCCUGGGGAGACAGGACUGAAGGUUCUUAAAGACCAGAGUUUCAGUUGAUCUUAUGUGCAUCUCCAAUGAGGGCUUCCACCUAGAAGCUUCUCAGAAGUUGUGGAGGAGGAAGAGAUGGUGCUAUUGUUGCAAGUUGUCUGGCUUUGCUGCCUGUUCUCCUCUUUUCUGCCUUCAGUAUGGGAUUCAUAGACUCCACACAAAUAUCAAAAAAUAUUAUAAGAAAGCAGAUAUGUCAAAAAUAGUAUGAGAAAGUGGGAAAAAUGAAAAGUUAUUUAUAAUCUCAUUGCCCUUGGUAACAAUACCAAUUAUCACCAUCAAUGUGCUAUAACCCAUUUGUGUUAUUUUGCAGUCUUUUUUUUAACAUAAUUAUUAUCUUGGGAUUCUUUUCAAUUUUUCCAUUUAUGUUUUUCUGCCAGCAAUGCCCAUGCAAUUUCACAGCCUUUUCAACUACCAUUUUGGAAUUUCCUUUAUCCAUGUGCUGUGAGUGAUGAAAUAUCCUUCUAGAACGUUGUUAUAUCUCAAGAGAAUUUCAGAAGUGAAAUGUUUUUAAGCCAUUUAUAUGCAUAUAUGUAUAUAUAAAUACAUGCAUUCUCAUCUACACAAAUAUACUUAAUAUAUAUUUAAUAUUUAAUAAAUAGUUUUAUAUAUUUAUAUCUAAAUAUAUUUAAAUGAAUGUAGAUUUACCAAAAAUCUAGUGGAAAGUACCUUUUCCAUAUUCUAUGGCCCCUCCCCCCAUAUCUCCUGUUAUCAGCACCUUGCAUUACUGUGGGCCCUUUAUUACAAUUCAUGAGCCAAUAAUGAUACAUUAUGAGUAACUAUAGCCCAUAGUUUCCAUUAGGUCCAGUCCUAGUGUUGUGUAGUUCUGUGAGUUUCAUAAAUGCAUGGUGCUAUAAAUCCACCACUAUGGGAUCAUAUAGAGUAGUUUCAUUGCUCUAAGAUUUUCCUUUGCUGCAUCUAUUCAUCCACUCACCUCUUCACCAACUCUUGGCAGCUACUGAUCUUCCCGAGGAGUUGGGUCUAUAUACCUGGCUCUGGGCUUUUUACUGUCUCUCUAGUUUGGCCUUUUCUAAAAUGUCACAUAGUUGGAAUCAUAUAGUACGUUGCCUUUUGUGAUUGGUGUCUUUCCCUUAGUGAUGUGCAUUUAAGGUUGCUCCAGGUCUAUUCAUGGCUCAAUAGCUUGUUUUUAGAGCUAAAUAAUAUACCAUGGAUGCACCAUGGUUUAUUUGUCCAUUCACCAACUGAAGAUCAUUUUGAUUGCCUUCAAGUUUUGACAAUGUUGAAUUGUUGUGUCACUUUUUGCCUGGAUGUAAAUUUUCAGUUCAUUUGUGUAAACACCAAGGAGUACAGUUGCUAGAUCUUAAAAGAAUAUUUUUGGUUUUGUAAGAAACUGCCAGACUCUUUUCAAAAGUGGCUGUACCAUUUUGCUUUGUACCACUGUUUCCAGUGAUCUGUCCUCAGCAAUUGCACCCUUACCGUAAUUCUUCCUCCUACAUGCUCAGGCAAUCUUAAGCCAGUUAUUUUUUUUAACAUUCUGGGCAUCAGAUUUCUCACGUGCAAGUCAGUAGUAUUUCAUAUAUAUGCUCUUGUUUAAAGUGAAAGCAAAUUUUGUGUAAAUGUAGUGUAUUUCCCGGUACCAACUUACCAUUAAUUUAUAUGCACUAGGAAAGAAACAAAUGCUUCCAUAUUAAAUGAUGGUAUGUCCCUGACUGUAAGACACAUCAAUUUUGGAGAUGCUGAAAUUUGAAAAGAAAGAUGUAUAGCUUAAGAUCUUUGAUUGGAAGACUGAUGAGCACUAAUACCUACUAAAACCCAGGCACAAAACAAGCCCUCAAAAUCUGAGUUUGUACAGGGUGAACAGACAGCUUAAAGCAAAUGUUCUCUGAUAUAUGGAUGCUGAUCCAUAAUGGGGGUGGGGGAGGAAUAUGGGAGGAAUAGAGGAACUUUAGAUAGGGCAAAGGGGAGGGAGGAGAAGGGAGGGGCAGAGGGGUAGGAGAGAUGGUGAAAUUAGAUGGACAUCAUUACCCUAAGAACAUGUAUGAAGACAGGAAUUGGUGUGAAUAUACUUUAUAUACAACCAGAGAUAUGAAAAAUUUGUGCUUUAUGUGUAUAAAAUGAAUUGUAAUGCAUUCUGCUGUCAUAUAUAAAUAAAAAUAAUAAUAAUUCAAAAAAAAAAAGAAAACAGUAAAAAAAAAAAAAGAAGAAGAAGAAGAAAGAAAGACUGGGGCUCCUUGGAGUGGGAGUGGAGCCAAUGUGACAGCAUGUGACAGAGAUCUAAGUGCAGAUCUGGUGAGAGCCAAGGGGCUCAGAGCCGAGUCCAAGGCGAGUUACUGUGUCUGCUCACGGUGCAGACUGGGCAGUGAGUGACACUCCCCAUGCUGUAGCAGUGUCCUCAGCCAGUGAUCGACCUUCACCUUUAGCCCCUGCCAAGAGGCUGGGGGACUACUGGCUGGAGCCACCGAGAGUGAAGGCCCAGUGAAGCACUUGGGGAUGCUUGACCUUCUGUUGCUCUACUUUGUUUCCACUGUCCUCAGAGAAGACACUGUGCUUGAUGUCUGUUCUUUGAAAGUUACUGAGAGUAAUUCAGUGGCCCUGCAUAUGGCCUAUCACCGUGAAGGGCACAUGCACUUGAAAAGACCAUGUCUGUAGGGCCUGGGGCAGAGUGUUCCCUAAAUAUCCAUUGUGAAAAGUCCUCAGCUCAGGGUAGUUGCUGUUCAAGAAAAUCUCGUUCUUUCAUUUUUUUGCCUUGAUAUCCAAAUAAACCCAUAAGCAGGAGGAGAUUUUCAUUUUUGCACAGACGAGCAGUUUCUGAGGACGUUGUCAUCACCCUUCAGCAGGCCCAGGGGAGGAAGAGGGCCAAGGUCCCUGUGGGUGAGAAGCCACAGCCAGGCCUGGACCCCGGGAGGCUGACCCUCUGACAACCUGCCCUCCUUGGGCCAGAGAGAAAACACCUAGGGAUCUGCUCAAGGGAGGGAGAUGUGCCCUGCGUGGCAGAACUCUCUUCUUUCCCUUCUGAGUUCAGCCAGCCCUUGCCGGAGACCUCUGGCUUUGUCCGUUUAGCCGCUGCUGUUCCAGAGCACCACAGGCCAGUGGUGCGUAAUCAGGAAACAUUCAUUUCUACAGCCCCUGCAGCUGGGAAGCCCAAGUUCAAGGAUUGCUCAGUUUCUUGUGAGGGCCGACCUUCUGGCUCACAGAUGGCCACCUAAUUGGCUGUCCUUACCUGGCAGAGGAGGUAAGGGAGCUCCCUGGGUGUCUUUUAUAAGGACACUAAUCCUGUUCACAAGGGCUCCACCCUCAUGAGCUAAUCACUUCCUCAAGCCAACCCCCACCUGAUGCCACCAAAUUGAAGGUCAGGAAAUCAACGUGGGAAUUUUAGGGGGACAGAUUCAGUCCAUAACACCUGCUCUUUACUGCAGUUCCAGGCUCUGGGAUAAAAAAAGGACUGCCCUUCCCUUUCAGAAUCUGUAGGCCACGCGGACAACGCACAAUUAUGUACAGCAGGUCGGGGGUCCUAACUGGGAAAGUGUGACAUAUUAGAAGAGAAUCACUCCUUGUGUCUCCCUCUCCCUUUCUCUGUUAUACACAUCUCAGCAAACUGCAGGGUUUCCACAAGGAAGCCAAGAGUGGGAAUAACAUGGUUCUAGCCGUAAAUCUACUGGCAACUUUUAGCAAAAGGUUUUCUUGAAGGGCGAGGAGCAUGCCCGCUCCCCGAGGCCUGGUACACCAGGUCCAGAAAGCUUUCAAAAGCUUGCUUUUGUUUUGUUUUGGCAAUCUGGGGAAGCCGUGACACCUUUUUAGAAUAAUGCUUUUACAGGGCAUAUGAGAAGCAUGCUCAGGAUCCGGAAGGAACCAGCCAUGUCCGGCCCUGACCUACGGAGAGAGGAGGACCUGGAGGCCUAGGGGAUAAUGGGGAGAUAUUUUGCAGAAAAGGAGAAAGUCUUCCCUGAGAUGGAUUCCAUACUUAGGAAAUCUGUGAGAGGCCGGGGCGGAGGCUUUCCUCCCAGGUAAGUGUAGGUGACUCCGUAAACGCCUAUCCUUGGUGAGCUCGUGGUUACUGUUUCUUUUCUCCCCAAAACUGUGUCCCAACUUCCAGAAAAUAGACACACUGAUCCUUAAAUCAUCCCUCUUUGUUUCCCUUGUUCUCUGAGACAAGAGUGAUAACAGUGGACAUUGUGGGAAGCAAAGUGUUAAAGACUGGCUUUUCUGGGGAAGGGAGAGCAAGUCCUGGACUGAAUGAUCAGAGGUUUCUUCAGAAGCCUGUGGGGUCACUGUGGGACUUUGAACCUCAGAUGGGAGUUCACCAGAGUAUAGCCAAGGAGGAUGGGUGAUCCGGGACUGCAGCUGAGGAGAGGUCAGAGGUUCAGGGAGGACGCAUGACACACUCUGGGGGCAGCAGCAGCGGCCGGGAGCCUGUGAGAUCAGACACCAGCUCUUCUCCCCGCAGCUACUUUGCUUAUAUCCCCUUGCUCAUUACCCCCUAGGACCUGCAGUCCCCAGUUUACUAGUGAGACAAGGGACACUAAGCAUAGUUAACCCAAGUUCAUCCAGCUGGAGGCCGUAGAGCUACGAUCUUAUUCCACAGAACCUGGGCUCCCAGGUCCUUGUGCUGUUUUAUCCCAUGCCACAUGCCUACUUGGCCUGGGUGCCCAUUUUAUGUCCUUUUUAAAAAGCCUGAGGAUUUCUGGUGAGUUUCUGAACCUCAGGAUUCUCGUCUGUAAAACGGGGAUAAUAUUUAUCACCUUCUCCACAAACAUUCUGUUCUUUAAAAAAAAAAUUCUGAAACUUUUACAAAGGGGACUUGGGGAGGCAGAUUAGAGGUACCCAUACCCGCCUGCUUCUCCGUGAGUUAGAACCAAAACAUCUGGAGAACUGAUGCCUAUGGAGCGGGUGACUGAGAGGAUGCAAGAGUUCAGCAGCAGCCAGAGACUUGGGGAAACGCAGAGGCUUUGGAUAGUGGGGUCUAUGUGGCACAGAGCACCCCAGCACUGCUCACCGCAGAGGACGACGUAGAGGUGAAAGAGGGGGAGACCCAGGAGCACCAGUCACACAGGAAUUCACACCUUGCAGAAAUACAGCCUGAGCAGACGUCCACCCGCCUGCGUGUAGGCAACUGGCUCUGGGGCGGUUCUCUGCACUUCCCCACUGUGUUCCAGGUGCUGUACCAGGGGCCAUCUCCCAAGGUCAGGCCGAGCCUCCUCCCCGGGAGUCAAAGGCCCUUGCAUGUUCCUCUCUGGUCCCUGGAGCCGUAUUCCUGUGCUGAUCCGGGGAGGCUGCCUCGAGAGUCAGUGUGGUCCCGCGGCUUCCACCAACCUGCCAAGGGGACAGACAGCCACGCGGAAGGGAGUGGAGGUGCUCCCCCUUAAACCGGGGUUCCCAAGGCCAGCGGGAGGCACAGCUCAGAGUCCUGGGGGGUGGAGAGCCGGGCUGCGGCCACCCCAGCACAGACAGCGGCCUCUCCCCAGCCUCUCCUCACCCUGGGAGCGCAGCACAGGAAGUGCAGAAGGCACCUGUGCCAGGCACGUCCGCACCCCAUGACAGCUUGGUGACACGCUGCCUCAGUCGGCAACUGCCCGGCUGUGUCCGUGCGCAGCCCCGGAACCCAGAGUCGGGGUGUGCGGAUGCCACCUCCUCGCAGCUGAGAGGGUCCCUGCCGACUCCAGCACCAACCAGUCCUGUGGCCCCCGGGGGAAGCACCCCCAAGGAAAGAAGGGGUGACACGAGGCAGCUCUGAGGGGCCCCUCCUGCCGCACAGCAAGCGCCAAAGGGAGAGGGACUCUUCUAAUUAUUAGGGCUUCUUAUUGCUGGGUUUGGUUUGCAUAUACUUUUCUUAGUUUGCUUUCUAAUAUUUAUUAUAUUAUUUUUGCUUUUCAUCUUUUACCCUUCUUCUGCUUGUCCCCUUUUGUCCUUUAAUUUUCUUCUCUUUUUUAAAAUUAAUUUUUGCUUAAUUACCUUUUCUCUUUGUAGUUUUUUAUUCUAUAUUAUCUGUGCCCUUUUCUGUUGUGGAGGCUGCUGUUUUUAUUUGGUUUUUACUUUGUGUCCUUUCAUGGUUUGUUUUCUCGGUGGUUGUCUUGGUGGUUGUUUCCUUCUUUCUAAGCAGUAUUCGGGAUUGGGUCUGACACUUGGACUAGAUUUGGUGGCUCCUCUGCCACAAAGCCACACUCCCAGCCCAGCUCGGAGAAAUUGCACCUUACUCCAUCUGAAAACUAACCCACCCACGCAAUCUACUGGACCCACAUAGGAAGGACUUGGAAGUCCUGCUCCUGGGCAUCAACACCCAUAGCAAAGUGGCUGUGGACACCAGGUGUAAGAGGGACCUCAGCACAGGGGACUUCAUACCCUAUCAGAGCCACAGGUUGCUGACUAGAUGGGAGGAGAACUCACAGAGGGGACAACUCAUAUGCUCUGCUGUCUACACCACACCUGUUUGAACUACCAGAGAGGACCCCUCCACCAGGGACCCCCCCCCCACCCAACACCAUCUUGAGAGACCUAUAGAGAAACCAGGGCCCUCAGCUCCAACACAGUGUUCAUUGUGCCAAAUCCCACCCAUCGCAGUCAAAGAAGCCACAGGGAGAGUAGACUGUGAGGUUGGAUUGGAAUUAAACCCAAUACUACCCAGCCAACCAAUGUCCCAGGGCACACCAUUGGGAGGAGGAGGCAGCUAAGUAAGAAGGCCUUCACACAGAAGUGGAGGAGAAAUCUGUCACAACUGAUGCCCAGACGCAGUGUGGAAUCACGGGGACUAUGGCAAAACAGGCGCACAGCCCCCGUGAGACGUUCCUAAUGCUCUAGUCACUAACUCCAAAGGAUCAAAGUGGAUGGAAUGAACGCUGGGCAAAGACUUCUAAAGAAUGAGUUAAAAAACCUCAGUGAGUUCCAAGAGCGUACAGGUAAACGUCUGCACCAAGGAAGGGAGACAUUGCACGUCCAGAUGAGCAGCAGGUCCAUAAAGAGACAGAGAUCUUGAAAAAGAAUCACACAGAAAUCCUGGGAGUGAAAAGCUCAGUAAGUCAGAUGAAAACUUGGGCAGAAGAAAGAGAAUUGGGGAAAACAAAAAAGGCAAGUGAAUCAGGGAUUGAAGAGUAGACUGAGGAAUUAUCGUAUUGAGAGGGUAGUAAAGGAAGAGGAAAGAAAAUGAACAGAAUGCACCAGAUCUCUGGGGCCCUCUAGAAGACCAAACAUACACAUAAUUGGAAUAGAUGAGGGAGAGCAGCUACAUCCAGAGGAUGCAGAAUACACAUUAUUUUCAUUAGCACAUGAAACUUUUUCCAAAAUAGAUCAUGUAGUAGAUGACGGAGCAAGUAUCAACAAAUCUAAAAAAAGUUGACAUUGCGUUUUUGCAUCUUAUCAGAUCAUAGUAGAAUGAAAUUGGACACCAACAGCAAGAGGAAUUGUACAAGUUAUACAAACACAUGGAUAUUGAAUAAUACAGACUUUUGAACAGUCAGUCAGUCAUUGAAGAUAUGAGAGGGAAAUUUAAAAGUUUCUCAAAUUAAAUGAAAAUAGAAACACAACAUACCAGAAACUAUGUGAUACAGUGAAAGCAAUACUAAAAAGAAAACUUACGGUUAUGAGUGCCUACAUUUAAAAAAUGGAUCUCAACUUGCUUUUCAUCUUUCGCAGUCAAAGAAGCCACAGGGAGAGUGCGCUCUCAGUGUGUCUCAAGGUCUUAGAAAAACAUGGACAAAGCAAAUCCAAAAUCAGUAGAAAGAAAGAAAGAAAGAAUAAAGAUCAGGAUAGAAAUAAAUGAAAUAAAGGUGAAAAGAAUAAUACAAAUGAUCAAUGAAACAAAAGGUUGGUUCUUUGAAAAGAUAAAAAUGACAAACCCUUAGCUAAACUAACCAAAAGAAAGCAAAAAGCAGAAAACUUGGAAUGAAAUCACCAUUUGACCCAGUUAUUCCACUCCUCGGCAUAUACUCAAAGGACUUAAAAUCAGCAUGCUGCAGUGCCAUAACCACAUCAAUAUUUAUGGCAGCUGAAUCCACAGGAGCAAAGCUAUGGAGCCACCCUAGUUUCCCUUUAACAGAUGAAUGGAUAAAGAAAAUGUGGUAUAUAUACAUAAUGGAGUAUUACUCAGCCAUAAAAAAGAAUGAAAUUAUGGCAUUUGCUGGUAAAUGGAUGGAACUGGAGACUAUCAUGCUAAGUGAAAUAAAGCAGUCCAAAAAAACCAAAUGCCAAAUAUUCUCUCUAUACAGUUGCUAACAGAAUAACUGUGGGGGAGGGAAGAAUAGACGUUCACUGGAUUGGGCAAAGAGGAAUGAAGGGAAGGGAAGGAGUAUGAAUGAACCAAACAGAUCUUUCCUAUGUUCAUAUAUGAAUACACAAACAGUGUGACUCCACAACAUGUUCAAUCCCAAAUACUCCAUGUAGGUAUAAUACAUCAAAUACAUUCUACUGUUAUGUAUAACUAAAAAGGGCAAAUAAAAAUAUUUUUUUUUUAAAAAAGAGGAGCAAGGCAUCCCAAGUAAUUAAAAUGAGAACUGAAAAGGGGGAUAUUACAACAGAUACCUCUGAAAUUCAUAGAUAGGAUCACCAUGGAAUAUUUUGAAAAAAAAAUGUAUGACAAUUAACUUAAAAAUCUAGAAGAAAUGGAAAAUGUCUGGACACAUAUGACGUACCAAAAUUGAAACUAGAGGAUACUCUUAUCAGAUUUUGGUACUAGGAUGAUAGAUAAGAAUCUGAUAAGAGAGAGAAAGAGAGAGAGAAAUAAGUAUAAAAAUCUUCAGUGAAAUACAUGCAAGUUGAAUUCAGCAGCUUAUUAAGAAUAUCAUACACCAUGAUCAACUUGGUUUUAUUUCAGGAAUGCAAGGGUGGUGCAAUGCAUACAAAUUGAUGAAUAUAUUAUGGAACAUUAAUAGAAUCAAGGAUAAAAAUUGCAUUAUCAUCUCAGUAGAUGCAGAAAAAGACUGAUACAAUUCAAUAUAUCUUCAUGAUAAAAUUCCAGAAUAAAUUAGGUAUAGAAGGAUCAUACAUUAAUAUAAUGAAGAUGGUAUGUGACAAACUGACAGCCAGCAUUUUACUGAGUUGGGAAAACCUGAAAACAUUUUCUCUAGGAUCAGCAAUAAGACAAGGGUGUACGGUCUUGCCAUUUUUAUUCAAAAUAGUAUUUGAAAUUUUAGCCAAAGUAAUUACGCAAGAGAAAGAUAUAAAAGGAACACAAAUAGGAAAGGAAGAAGUCAAAUUAUCCCUUCAUGGCGUAUUCCUUCUCUAGCUUCUGCAUGUAAGAGAAAACCCCUGUCCCGCCUUCUGAGUUUGACUUACGUCAUUUAAUAUAAUGGUUUCUAGGUCCAUCCAUUUUCCUGCAAAUGACACAUUUUUUUUUGAAUGGCUGAAUAAAAUUCUACUGUGUUCAUAUACCAUAUAUUCUUUUUCUAUUUAUCCAUUGAGCUGCACCUAGGCUGGUUCCAUAGUUUGGCUAUUGUGAAUUGUGCUGCUGUAAACAUGGGUCUGCAUGUGUCACUGUAGUAAGACGUCUUUAAUUCUUCAGGAUAAAUACCAAGAAGUGGUAUAGCUGGGUCGUAUGAUGGUUCCAUGUUUGGUCUUUUGAGGUUCCUGAUUUCCACAGUGGUUGUACUAAUUGACAAUCCCACCAGCAGUGUAAUAAUCUUACUUUUCAUUCACAUCCUCGCCAGCACUUAUUAUUAUUUGUAUUCUUAAUAACUGCCCUUUUGACUAGUGUGAGAUAAAAACUCAGUGUAGUUGUGAUUUUCAUUUCCCUAAUUGUUAGUGAUGUUGAACAUUUUUUUAUGUAUUUGUUUUUCUUAUUUCUGGAAAUGUUUGUUUAAUUCAUUUGUCCAUUUACUUAUUGGGUUAUUUGAUUUUUUGGUAUAAAGUUUUUGAGUCCUUUAUAUAUUAUGGAUAUGAAUCCUGUAUCAGAAGAGCAGCCAGCAAAGACUUUCUCCAAGUCUGUAGUUUCUCUCAUCUCAUUCUUAACUGUUUCCUUCACUGUGCAGAGUGUUUUUUUUUUUUUUAAAUUCAAUGCAAUUCCAUCUAUUAACUCUUGGCAUUAUUUCAGGAGCUUUAGGGAUCUUAUUAAAGACGUCAUUGCCUGGGCAUGUAUGCUGGGGUGUUGACCCUAUGUUUUCUUCUAGGAGUUGCAUAAUUUCUGGUCCAAUUCCUAGGUCUUUGAUCCACUUUGAGUUGAUUUUUGUGUAGGUGAGAGUUGAAAAUCUAGUUCAUUCUUCCACAGAGGGAUAACCAGUUUUGCCUGCGCCACUUGUUUAAAAGGCUAUCUUUUCUCCAAUGUAUGUUUUUGACACUUUUGUCAAAGGUCAGAUGACUAUAGAUGGUAGGUUUGUCUCUGUGUCUGCUAUUCUGUACUAUUGGUCCCUAAAAAGCUCACACACACACACACACACACAAAACCCUCUUAGAAGUAAUAAACAAAUUCAGCAAAGUAGCAGGAUGCGAAAAUCAACAUGCAAAAUUUGUGGAUUUUCUGUUCACUAAUAAUGAUGGAUUAGGUGAAUGAAUAUUGUCAAAAUUACCAAAAACAAUCUGCAGAUUCAGUGCAAUCCCCACCAAAACACCAAUGACAUUCUUUACAAAACUAGAAAACAAAUUUCUGAAAUUCAUGUGGAAAGCUCAAAAGAACUUGAAUAACCAAAGUAAUGCUGAAAGCAUCACAACCCCUGAUUUGAAAAUAGACUACAGAAUCAUAGUAACAAAAACAGCAUGGCCCUGGUAUAAAAGCAGACAUGUAGACCAAUGGAAUAGAGUAGAGAACCCAUAUAUCACUCACAGCUAACUGACUCUUAACAAAGGUGCCCAAAACAUACAUUGGAGAAAAGACAACCUCGUCAACAAUUGGUGCUAUAUAAUUAGAUAUCUCCCUAUAGAAGACUGAAACUACACACUGUGUCUUGCUGUUCACAAGAAUCAAGUCAAAACAGAUUAAAGACCUCAAUGUAAGCCCAGAUCUUUGAAACUUCUAGAAGAAAACACAGGGAAACACUUCAAGGUGAUUGAAAGAAGGGACGGAUCCCUCCCUAGGACUCCAGUAGCUUAGGGAAUACAGGCAAGAUUGACACAGGGGACUACAUCAAAUUAAAAAGCUGCACAGCAAAGAAACAAUCCAGAGUGAAGAGAUAGCCCGCAGAAUGGGAAAAAGUCCUCGCCAGCUCUUCAUGUGCCAGAGGACUAAUACCCAGGGAGAUAGAAAGAACUCAAGAAAGUCUCCAACAAAGAGCAGGUGCUCCAACAGGAAAGCAGGCAAAUGAUCGGGACAGAAACUUCUCAAAAGAAGAAGUGACCAUAAGUCUAUGAGAAAAUGUCCGAAUUCUUUAGCCUUCAGGGAAAUGCAAAGCAAAACUACAUUGAGAUUCCAUCUCACCCCAGUCACAAUGACUAUUACCAAAGAAACAAACAAACAAACAAAAAUGCAUAUACUGAUGAUACCGAUGAGGAUUCCCACACUGUUGGUGGGAAUAUAAAUUAGUACAGCCACUACGGAAAACAGUAUGGAAAAAAAACCAACGAGAAUACAAUUAACAUAGGAUCUAGCUAUUGUACCCCUGGAUAUUUACCUGAAGGAAAUGCAGAAGGAUACAAGGAAAUCUCUGCAUUCCCAAGUUUACUGUGGCACUGUUCACAAUAGCCAAGAUAUGGAACCAACCUAGGUGCCCACUGACAGAUAUGACAGAAAAUCAUAUCUAUAUAUCGCAAUUAUAUAUAUAGUGCAUAUGCACAUUAUAUCUAUCACAUACUUUCUCUCAUGUGUGGAAACAAAAUAAAACAACCAAAAAACAAACCUGAAAGUGGGAGAGGAUCUAGUAGGGAAGGGGAAAGUAAUGGGGUUGGGGGAAACAUGAUCCCACUGUGAUAUAUGCGUGCAUGAAAAUGUCACAGUGAAACACAUUAAUUUGUACAAUUGAAAUGUGUUGAUAAUUAUAAUAAAAAAAUCUCCCAUGCAUACACAGUAAUUGUGCAUUUUUAGGUGGUCUUUCAGGACCUGCGCACAAUGUUCAGUUUUGUAGGAUCAGGCUGACGGGUUUAUCCAUCACUCAAACCUGUCAUUCCUUCCUUCUGGGAACACUGAAAAUCCUCUCCACUGGCUGUUUGGAAAUAUGCAAUUAAUUUUUGACAACUGUGGCCUCACCUCUGUGGCCAGAGAACAGUAGAAGUCCUUCCUCUUAUCCACCCACCCACUGACUUUCUCUUGAUGAUUUAACAGAUGCUCAAGAAGCUCGGAGCACACGUGCUGGACACCUCGGUGCUCAGCAAAUAUUAACUGAGAGGAUCCUUUGCCCAGGAGGGCAGGGCGGAGCCUGGGGUCCCUGGGGCUCCAUCACCCCUGUUUACUCCUCCGACUUCCCCUUCCCGCAGGCAUUCACCAGCUUGUUUUUCUGGUGCGGAGGAUGCCCUGGGCCAAGCCCAGCAUCGCCUCAGCAGCCUGCUGCACCCCUGCCCGGGGACCAGGAGGACAGUGACUCCAGCCGACUUUCUCACUCUGGAAACUCAUGACCUUUAUUCAGAAUCGUCUUGCGGUCCCUGCGUCACACAGCCACCUCAUUCCCCACUCCUCCCUGCCCCGCCCCAUGCCCUUUAUUUUCUUCUCGUCUGGGGAGAUUAAUAGACUAGAGCUGCAUCCCACACACAGGGACAGGGCUACCUUAGAGAGGAGCUUUUCCUGCAUUCGUCUCCUGCGUUUAUUUGGAAUUGGGCGUCUCCUCUGUGCAUUUGUCUUGCUUUGGGGAUUGGAACUCGGACGGGACCGCAAAAAGGUGCCCAUGACCACAGAUUAGCUCUAGCUGAGGGGGUGCAGCCUGGGCUGGAGUGGAAGGUCUGGAUUCUGCUUUGAGAGAUGGUACAGGGUGGUGGGAAGAACUGAGGCUUGAGAUCCAAGCUGGCACCUUAGCUCUGCCCUCGUGAGAUCUGGGGUGUCCCCUCCCUGCACCUCUUUUCUUCACCUGAAAAGUACAGUGGUGUCCUGAGGAGCCGAGCUGGCAGGGUCCCCACUAACAUUCUUGGGGAGAGCAGGGUCCUGUCUUUUUCAGCACUGAAGCCCCAGAACCUAGAACACUCCUUGGCCUGCCUGAGCACUCAGCAAACACCUCUCUUGGAAUGGAGAUUAAAGCCUGUGGGGCUCCUGGCAUGAGGGAGAUGGAACAGCAGUCAUAUUACCAUGUCUGUUCUAAAUCAGGAACUCACAAACUCUGUAUGGCCCCCCACCUGGUGUUGUAAAUAAAGUUUUAUUGGAACGUAGCGCUGCCCAUUCCUUUACACAUCGUCUGUGGUUGCCUUCCUCUUGCAGUGGUGGAAUAAAAUAGUUGAAGAGAGAUGUGCGGCCCCUUUGGCUUAAAAUCUAUACUGUUGGGCCAUUUGCAGCAAAACUUAAGGACUCCGGCUCUGAAUGUCAAGGUUUUCCUGUGUAAGGAUAAUCAUGGAUUUCAUUUUCCCAGGUAGUAUCAGGCAUUACCAAGUCGGAAAUCUGCGGUGAGCCCCAGUUGUGUAUUUUCGAUAUCGUCUCUAAGAUAUUUAGGGUUAGCUUUAACUGACUGCGCGGUGGCCUGGCUGUCAUGUGGAUGGAGGUGUUACUUUCGUUUCUGUGUAAAAAGAAACUUAACUCACCUGUCCAUUCCUGACAUAUUCACUAGGGACAGACCGCAUGUCCUGCAAGAAGUCCAGGGCCAGAGACGCACACAGGAGGUGGCCCACCAGGUACAGCCUGCUUUACAGCCUCAAAUAAAGGCUACUGACGAGGUGCAGGAGGGCAUCCACUGGAUGAGCUCGGGAUACAGGUUUCCCACUCCCUCCUCCAUCAUAAUAAACCACGCCAUCUCGGACACCUCAGCCUCACUGGGCUUGAUCUCCAGUCUGUGAGAUGGUAACCAUGACAUCUCCCACGCUGGUUUCUCAUGAAGCUUAAGUAAGAUGAUGUAUCAGGUGUCCAAAACUUAGUAUCCACUCGGCAAUCUUAUGAUAAAUGGUCUUUAUUUAUAGCUUGGCUGAGAGAUAUCCAAAGAUCUUUGCUCCGUGUUGUCACUCUCUCUGAUGAUCGGCAGCCACAGGUGAGAGCCUCUCAGGUCCUUGGAUUCUGGGCUGGUGAAGGAGACCUUCCUGGAAUGGACAUCUUGAGUCAAGUACCCUGAGGUCUGUACCUGAGGGCUUCCCUGUCCCCCGUCCAGCUGAGCAGUGCAAUGGGCUCUGUCCUGCGGCCACGUCACAGUCUGCAGAUCUUUUUUCUUUCUUUUCCAGCAGGACAGAACAACAGGCUCUCAGAAUCCUACAACACAACAGAGGAGCAUUUCAGAGACCACCGAAGGCUGGCGAGUUCCCCGAGGCUAGUGGGUCCCCAAACAGGAGCAGGAGCCCAGCUGGGGGCUGGCAGGGGCUUGGCGUGCCCACCAGGACUUCCACAUGUAGCACCUGGUUUCUUGGCUUAGUUGAUGGCUUUGAACUGUGCCCGGAGCAUGGUGAAUGCUUUGUCAAUGUUUCUGGAGAGGAUGGAUGGUGGGUUCCCCGUGGUGAGCAUGCUCCCUGCCCCUCAGCCACUCCAGCCCCAUGUCCAGUGGUACUAGCAGGUGGGCUGGCCAUAGAGCAGGAGUUCCUAGCAGGCCCUGCCUGAGUUUAUCCAGGACCCAGGCUCCCUGAGUUUCCUUUGGGGUCGCCUGUCUUGCUCCUUUUUGUGCAUACACUAUACCCCUAUGCCAGGGUUCUUCCCCCUGGAAGAACCUUAGACCAGCCCUGCCGCCCCCCAACUGCUGUUGCCCCAGCCAGGACUGGAUUCUGGUAUGUGGCCUUGGGUCUGGGUGGGGGCAUACACAGGAAACUCAUCCAAAGCCUCUGUUCCCUGUCACACCCAAGAGCUGACUGAGACCCCUUCCAUCCCUAGGAAAAGCCCUGGGUUUGGGGAUCACAGAGAACAAUGCCAGACCAGGGGCAAUGCUUGACCUCAGGGCUGGACAGGUGGACGGUGCCUCUGUGAUCAGCAGAGGUGGUGAGAAUGGAAAGGCAGUGGCCAGGGGACAGCAGGUUUUUUAGAUCACCCUCGUGCCCUCCCCACUGGGUGGUCAGGAUGGCGGCUAAGCCUGCCUUCUGGUGGUGGCCCCUCCACCCCGGGGUGGAUCACUGCACUCAGAGGAAGACAGAGAGGCUGUGUGACCUGGAGCAAGUUGCUUCACACUCCGUGCUGACUCACUUUCCUCUCUUUUUAAGAAGGAGUGUGGGGAUGGCUGCCUGGCAGGAUCUUCUGUUUGAGAUAAUGUGGCUCCUGGCACAUAGCAGGUGCUCAGUAGGAAAAUGCCUUGUGCCUUCACUCCUCCCAGGUGCAGCCUUCCCUGCAGAGCAAGCUGGCAGCCUCCAACUGAGCCUGUCCUUGGGACUGUGUUCCUCCUGCCUCCAGGACCCCAGGCCCCCGGGAGGGCACUGGCGCCCUGGCCUGUUUCUGCUCUGAAUGAAGUGGCAUCAUUGCUUGCUAGCAUUUGUGAGGGUUAUUGUCUGAAAGCUACCUUUGCCCUUUGCCCCUCCUGUGAGGGCGCCAUGACCCUUCUACAGAUGGCUCCUGCCCUGCGAUGAGGUGACUCACCCAGCGUCAUCCAGCUGGCCACUCACCUGGACCCUCUCUGGUCACUGCACAUGGUAACACCAGUUCAUGCACUCGUGCCUCCUCAGGUGACACAGAACUGUGUGCUCUUCCUUCUGAGGAGGGACACUUCCAGAGGCACUUCAAGGCAGCCAGGAGGGGUGUCCCAAGGGCCCAAGGCAACAUGUGGCACCUUCUAACUCCAAGAGGCCUGCCCAGGGUCACAGUGGGCAAAUGGCAACAGAAUGUCCCACGUGAACCUCCUAGUCCACUCCUGUCUGCUCUGGAAGCUGUCCCUGUCCCCUGGGCUGUCCCUUCACAGGGUCACUGUUCCUCUGGCAGCUGACCAAGGGCUUAUCAUAUGCAUAAAUAAAGUGACAGUUACUUCAGUUACUUUCUUCCUUACUACAAAAGUGUUGUAGAGUCACUAAAGAAAAUUAAAGUAAAUAAAAAUAACCAAAUUAAUCUCCAAUAAAAUAGAACCAACUUGCAUUUUAACAUAUAAUUUCCUAGUACAUUUUCUCUGUGUGUGUGUGUGUGUGUGUGUACAUAUAUAUGGAGAUUUUAUUUUAGAGGCUAUUUCCCAACUUGCUC